AAGUAAGUUAUUAAGCAAACAUUAAAACUCAAUACCUAUAAUGUUCUUAGUAUUCGAACCACACCUACAUAUUGGGUUGUAACAGCUUCUAUUAAAUUAAUGAUGUUGCCCAUGCUAUAAAUUAGGCAAAUUGUAUGCAAAUAUUAUUUGAGUAGUAAUACGGUGGUUAUCAGUUGUCUGCAAAAUAAAUUAGUGCAGCACAGUAAAGAUAGUGGGGUAGAAGCAUAAUAUUUAAUUGCGCACUAAUUUUAUUGUGAUUAUUACUUUUAAAUAACAACAGCAUGGUUAUUAAAAGAUAUAAUAUGAUGGUUUAUGUAGAGCUGAUAAAACACGCACAUGAUCCAAAACGCCUGUUUACAGAUUAAUAUUGAUAGAGUGUAAUUUACAGUUCCAAGGAUUUACUCCAAAUUGCUGUAAAAUGGAACGUGACAGGUAUUUGGUUCUGAUUAUCUUGGAUUUGCAACCAUAGCUUUUAGACUGUGUUUGGCAAAAUGACAGUUAUUAACUCAAUAUAUUAUCUUUUUCCUAGACAUACCUUUGUAUUAUCAACAAAGUAAAGUAAACUCUCUGCAAAACACGAGGUCCAAAUGCUCACGCAUACACACAUAUAAUCUGGGUGACAUUUAGAGAUUAGGAUCACAAAAUACAGUAUUUUAGUCUCUUUCUUUCGUGGCAAACUGCACUCCAGCCUAGGAGCAUUUAACAAAGCAGUAACCAACCACUGAAUUUCACCGUGCACAGUUGAAGAAUUGUAUUUGCUAAAUUGAAAAGUAAAGCAAGAACCAAGAAAAACAGCCAAAGAAUAAGCAUGACCUCAUUAACCAGCCAGGGAAGCGACUAAAUACCUACCCAAAUUGUAACUUUCCCAGAUACUUGUCACCCACCGAAAAUUCCUUAACAUUUACUUUGGUGACAAGUUUACAAUACACUUAAACAGAUGCACCGACCUUUUCAAGGUGUGCACCUACCUGCAGAGCAAUAUAAACCUAAAAUUCCACUCUUUAAAAAAAAAAAAAAAAAAGAGAGAGGGGGGAGCAAUAAAGAAAAUAAAUAGACGGCGGGGGGCGGAGGAAGGGGCAAGGAGAGACCUGUUGUAAUAUCACGGGGACUGAUCUUCCCACUUCCAAAACUAACUUCAAUAACGCUUCAUCCAAAAGAGGAAACCACCAAAACCAACCCCAGAAACCCCCCUUUACCCCCCCACUGAACAGGGCUACAGCUGAACUGUGCCACACAGCAAAACUACAGUUGCGUUUUUCCCCGUGAAAGGAAGGAAUGUUGUCACUGACAGCAGUAAACACAACGUGAGCAAAGCCGCGAUCCGGGGGAAAACAUCGGCUCCGCGACGCUGCGCUGCUCGGGG
ensembl:lncRNA